rnacentral:rRNA from 1 species
AUGCCCACCGGCGCCGACGAGCGCGUCUACUGCCCGGACUGCCGCCGCGCGACGGAGGUGGUGCUGGACCACGGCACCGGCGACACCAUCUGCACCGAGUGCGCGCUCGUCCUCGACGCGCACUACAUCGACGAGGGCUCCGAGUGGCGCAGCUUCGCCGCCGACGGCGGCGGCGAGGACCGCGACCCCAGCCGCGUCGGCGCCUCCGGGGACCCCUUCCUCAACACCAAGCUCUCCACCGUCAUCGCCUACGACAAGAAGCCCGGCAAGUCCUCCGGCGAGGCCAACGCCCUGCCGCGGACGUCCGUGCCCGGCGACGGCGCCGGCGCGGUGACCCUCGUCGACGGCUUCCGCGGCAUCGGGGACAUGGCCGACCGGCUCGGCCUCGUCGCCACCAUCCGGGACCACGCCAAGGAGACGUUCAAGAAGCUGGACGAGGCCAAGGGCGUCCCGCGCGGCCGGAACCGCGACUCGGUCUACGCCGCCUGCCUCUACAUCGCCUGCCGCAACCUCGGCAUGCCGCGCACCUACAAGGAGCUCGCCUCCGUCACGGCCGCGGGGCCGGCCGCCAAGAAGGACAUCGGCAAGAUGUCGACGCACAUCAAGAAGCUGCUCGGCGAGGAGGACGGCCAGGUGAUGGACAUCGGCGUGGUGAGCGCCUCCGACUACCUGCGCCGCUUCUGCUCGCGGCUCGGGCUGGGCAACCAGGAGGUGCGCGACGCGCAGGAGGCCGUGCGCAGGCUCGAGGAGCGCCUCGACGUCCGCCGCAACCCCGAGUCCAUCGCCGCCGCCGUCAUCUACAUGGUCGUGCAGCGCGCCGGCGCCACCAACUCCGUCAAGGACGUGUCCGUCGCCACCGGCGUCGCCGAGGGCACCAUCAAGGAGGCGCACAAGGACCUCACCCCGCACGCCCACAUGCUCUUCGCCCCUGUCACCGCCCACGACAUUAUUAACCCCGUUCAAGCUUGA